UUUAUGGAGAGUUUGAUCCUGGCUCAGGAUGAACGCUGGCGGCGUGCCUAAUACAUGCAAGUCGAGCGAACGGACGAGAAGCUUGCUUCUCUGAUGUUAGCGGCGGACGGGUGAGUAACACGUGGAUAACCUACCUAUAAGACUGGGAUAACUUCGGGAAACCGGAGCUAAUACCGGAUAAUAUUUUGAACCGCAUGGUUCAAAAGUGAAAGACGGUCUUGCUGUCACUUAUAGAUGGAUCCGCGCUGCAUUAGCUAGUUGGUAAGGUAACGGCUUACCAAGGCAACGAUGCAUAGCCGACCUGAGAGGGUGAUCGGCCACACUGGAACUGAGACACGGUCCAGACUCCUACGGGAGGCAGCAGUAGGGAAUCUUCCGCAAUGGGCGAAAGCCUGACGGAGCAACGCCGCGUGAGUGAUGAAGGUCUUCGGAUCGUAAAACUCUGUUGUUAGGGAAGAACAUAUGUGUAAGUAACUGUGCACAUCUUGACGGUACCUAAUCAGAAAGCCACGGCUAACUACGUGCCAGCAGCCGCGGUAAUACGUAGGUGGCAAGCGUUAUCCGGAAUUAUUGGGCGUAAAGCGCGCGUAGGCGGUUUUUUAAGUCUGAUGUGAAAGCCCACGGCUCAACCGUGGAGGGUCAUUGGAAACUGGAAAACUUGAGUGCAGAAGAGGAAAGUGGAAUUCCAUGUGUAGCGGUGAAAUGCGCAGAGAUAUGGAGGAACACCAGUGGCGAAGGCGACUUUCUGGUCUGUAACUGACGCUGAUGUGCGAAAGCGUGGGGAUCAAACAGGAUUAGAUACCCUGGUAGUCCACGCCGUAAACGAUGAGUGCUAAGUGUUAGGGGGUUUCCGCCCCUUAGUGCUGCAGCUAACGCAUUAAGCACUCCGCCUGGGGAGUACGACCGCAAGGUUGAAACUCAAAGGAAUUGACGGGGACCCGCACAAGCGGUGGAGCAUGUGGUUUAAUUCGAAGCAACGCGAAGAACCUUACCAAAUCUUGACAUCCUUUGACAACUCUAGAGAUAGAGCCUUCCCCUUCGGGGGACAAAGUGACAGGUGGUGCAUGGUUGUCGUCAGCUCGUGUCGUGAGAUGUUGGGUUAAGUCCCGCAACGAGCGCAACCCUUAAGCUUAGUUGCCAUCAUUAAGUUGGGCACUCUAAGUUGACUGCCGGUGACAAACCGGAGGAAGGUGGGGAUGACGUCAAAUCAUCAUGCCCCUUAUGAUUUGGGCUACACACGUGCUACAAUGGACAAUACAAAGGGCAGCGAAACCGCGAGGUCAAGCAAAUCCCAUAAAGUUGUUCUCAGUUCGGAUUGUAGUCUGCAACUCGACUACAUGAAGCUGGAAUCGCUAGUAAUCGUAGAUCAGCAUGCUACGGUGAAUACGUUCCCGGGUCUUGUACACACCGCCCGUCACACCACGAGAGUUUGUAACACCCGAAGCCGGUGGAGUAACCUUUUAGGAGCUAGCCGUCGAAGGUGGGACAAAUGAUUGGGGUGAAGUCGUAACAAGGUAGCCGUAUCGGAAGGUGCGGCUGGAUCACCUCCUUU
rnacentral:rRNA from 1 species